rnacentral:rRNA from 1 species
UACGUAGGGUGCAAGCGUUGUCCGGAAUUAUUGGGCGUAAAGAGCUCGUAGGCGGCCUGUCGCGUCGGCUGUGAAAACCCGAGGCUCAACCUCGGGCCUGCAGUCGAUACGGGCAAACUAGAGUACUGCAGGGGAGACUGGAAUUCCUGGUGUAGCGGUGAAAUGCGCAGAUAUCAGGAGGAACACCGGUGGCGAAGGCGGGUCUCUGGGCAGUAACUGACGCUGAGGAGCGAAAGCGUGGGUAGCAAACAGG